UGAGGAAUAUUGGUCAAUGGGCGGAAGCCUGAACCAGCCAAGUAGCGUGAAGGAUGACUGCCCUAUGGGUUGUAAACUUCUUUUACAAGGGAAUAAUUGUGGGUACGCGUACCCAUUUGCAUGUACCUUAUGAAUAAGGAUCGGCUAACUCCGUGCCAGCAGCCGCGGUAAUACGGAGGAUCCGAGCGUUAUCCGGAUUUAUUGGGUUUAAAGGGAGCGUAGGCGGGCGCUUAAGUCAGCGGUGAAACCUGAGCGCUCAACGUUCAGCCUGCCGUUGAAACUGCCGGGCUUGAGUUCAGUGGCGGCAGGCGGAAUUCGUGGUGUAGCGGUGAAAUGCAUAGAUAUCACGAGGAACUCCGAUUGCGAAGGCAGCUUGCCAUACUGCGACUGACACUGAAGCACGAAGGCGUGGGUAUCAAACAGGAUUAGAUACCCUGGUAGUCCACGCAGUAAACGAUGAUUACUAGGAGUUUGCGAUAUACCGUCAAGCUUCCACAGCGAAAGCGUUAAGUAAUCCACCUGGGGAGUACGCCGGCAACGGUG
rnacentral:rRNA from 1 species